rnacentral:lncRNA from 1 species
UAAAGAAUCGUUUCCUGUCAUUUCUAUUUGAAAUUAUACAAUUAUCAAUAUAAAUAAUCACACGAACAUAAAUGAAAUUAUCAACAAAAUCAUGCUUUCAUAUCCAAAUAUGCAUUUACAAAUAUAAAGUUGGUAAUUAAUUACAAAAGUAUAUUAGCAUCCCACUGAUAAUUAUAUAAUCAAGAUUCAUAUAUCACCCCUAUUGUUUACACAACCUCUGGGCAAAUAUGGGUUCCAAACUGCCUAGCAAAACGCAUGAUAACCAUGUUCUCAACUUGUACGAAGUCUUCAAAGCUCGCAUCUUCAAUUGUAACCUCAACCUUUCAAACCCUGAAACAAUAAUAAGUAAUUUCUCUUUAGAAAAUUAUAAGGAUCUGAUUGAGUAUCUAAAAGAAAACAUAAAUGGAGAGUUACACCUAAAUAUUGCAUGAUUCCUUUUCCUUAAAAGCAUGUUAUUUUCGUACAUAAUCCAAUUAUAUUUUUUCAAAAAUGGAUUAAUAUAAAAUAACUUAUCCAUGUUAAUAUAUUGUUUCACAACUUUCAAUUAUGUAAACUCGUUUAAUCCAAUCUGCAGUGAACCUCCUUUCCUCAGGUAAGACACAAUCUUCAAGUAAUCAAAUAUUGACAAUGAGUUCCUACUCAAUACAUAAAAUAUAAUCUAGAAUGUACUACGUACACAAGUUAUUAAAACACAAACUCAUGGCAUGUGAUAGUGAUUAAACUCACCCAAACAAUUCAAGGAGGAGAGACUUCUUCAUUGCCGCUUCAAGAAGCUGAAUUACAGGAAAGAGUAAGGUAAUUAACUUUAUAAUCAGCAAUUUUGAGAGCUAGAUAUCGAGCAAAUUACAUAAAUAAGAGCCUAAGAUAUAUGACAAUACACAAUCUACUGAAACUACCAACCAUUCUUCAUAUAUGUUUGUUCAAGUACAAUUUGUUGUCUAUAGCUAAAACAUCAUUUUAAACUUAAGAAUUCCAAUGGAAGACAUUCCUCAAGAAGUGUUUAUUUAAAAAGAUCAAAGUAAUCAUGAAAAUCAAAAUAGAGCAAACAAGAGAACGUAUGAAAAAUUGGUAAAAGAAUAAAUACCUUGUCAUAUUCUAUGAGUGAAGGCUAAAUAUGAAUACUCAAUAGUCUCUAUUUACUUCAGGAAGAAAAAUGUAGGUAUUUAAAAGGAUCAAGGAUUAGCUCGUUCAAUAAACAACUCAUAUCAAUCAAAAAAUCUCAAUUUGACAAGGGUGCACUCACCUAACCCAUUCUAAGGAUUAGAACACCCGGAGGUGCAAACUUGCAAAAUGCAUAAUGUAUAUAUUCGUAAGUUUAAUCAUUCUGCCUCACGUAUUCAACCACAAUAUUUCUUAUCUUCUUAUGUCCCCAUCCCCUGUUCCUUGUUUAUAAGACUGAACCAAUGUGACUAGAGUCCAACAUACCAAAAAACGUGCAUCAAACUCCAAAGUAAUUGCCAAGAGUGUCAGUAGCUCUUUCCACAUCUAAUGCAAGCAAAUGUACAUGAGACACCGAACGGAAAAGUUUGUAGAAAUCCUUUAAUUGAGCUGAGAAUUGUAACAACCAAAUGUAUUGCAUAAGUCUAAAUAAGAUGCCUUUAAUUGAACAGAGAAUUACUCCUCCUUUAAACUGGGCUGAUUUUUAAUAUUCCCUCUCAGGAUAGGAUACCUUUAAAGUUCAUAAAGAGAAAAUUAUAUAUUUUAAUAUAAAUUUUCACUACUCUUUCUCUGUCAGUUAUACUAAAAAACUAGGGUAUACUCCUGAAUUUCUCAAUAAUUCUAAGCUCCAUCCUCUACAAAAUUUGCAACUGUUAACUUAGAAUGUCUCUCAUAUAACUUUUCUAUCAUGUCUACUGAUUAACUAUCUGUUUGCGAACUCUAAUUUUUCUUAUUCAAUCACUGUCACGUAAAGACAAAUAGAACUUAGAAAAUGAAGAUAUCUCAAAAUUAGAAUUCAAUAGCAGACUGCAAUUUUAGUUACCUCGUUUAAUCUUGCUGGUUUUUCCAUUUAAUAUUUCUCCGACACAAUAUUGCAAUAAGACUACAACUUUUUGAAGAAGCUCCUUGAUUUUGAAACAUCUACCCUUGCUCUCUUUUCCUACUGCUGUGUGUUCACUGUUCACGCCUUCGAAGACAAUUGUCUUGCUGCUUUUUACCCUACUGCAACAUCAUCUACGCCUCAAACAAACUAUUUAGCAAGCCCUACAAAAUAAAACCCCAUAACAUUUGGAGAACAUACAAAAAUCGAGAUUGUAAACUCACAGAUAACUUUAAUUUAGAAUAUUAUAUUAUAAAAAAUUAGCUCUACAACUCAUACGGUUAUACCCACUUGUAAAAACAAAAGAAUAGUAAAACGAGAGGGAACAUCACUAAAUGAAAGGGAAAUUUUGAAUUUGUAUUAGCAAAAAAGUCACCGGGUAGAGAAAUUAGAAAACAUUGACAGUGUUCUUACAUAGCUCUAAAUCCACGCAUAAACAAAAAAUUAAAGAGACAAGAAAAAUUAAGAAAAUUACCUUCAGCAACUUUGAGAUCUUUCUUGAGUCUGAGAAUCCCUUAUUUUCGCUCGGUUGCCUAAGGGAAAGGGGACUGCGGCACCAGAGAUUUGUGGAGAAGCUAGGACGAGUACCAUUGAAAUUAUGUUUUUUGACACGGAGUUAGGUUUGAGGUGUUUUUAUGUAAUUACUUUAGUUUCUUUUUAAUUUAUUUAUGUACGUAAUUCUUUUUAAGAAAUAGUUUAAGUGAUGCUCACCCGCGCUCAAUUUGGAGCAGUAGGAACCAGUUAUUGAUUUUUUUGCAGACCACAUUUACUCCCUUCGCUAUUUAAG